rnacentral:rRNA from 1 species
CAUCCUUUGACCGCUCUAGAGAUAGAGUCUUCCCCUUCGGGGGACAAAGUGACAGGUGGUGCAUGGUUGUCGUCAGCUCGUGUCGUGAGAUGUUGGGUUAAGUCCCGCAACGAGCGCAACCCUUAAGCUUAGUUGCCAUCAUUAAGUUGGGCACUCUAAGUUGACUGCCGGUGACAAACCGGAGGAAGGUGGGGAUGACGUCAAAUCAUCAUGCCCCUUAUGAUUUGGGCUACACACGUGCUACAAUGGACAAUACAAAGGGCAGCUAAACCGCGAGGUCAAGCAAAUCCCAUAAAGUUGUUCUCAGUUCGGAUUGUAGUCUGCAACUCGACUACAUGAAGCUGGAAUCGCUAGUAAUCGUAGAUCAGCAUGCUACGGUGAAUACGUUCCCGGGUCUUGUACACACCGCCCGUCACACCACGAGAGUUUGUAACACCCGAAGCCGGUGGAGUAACC